GUGGGGAAUCUUAGACAAUGGGGGAAACCCUGAUCUAGCCAUGCCGCGUGAGCGAUGAAGGCCUUAGGGUUGUAAAGCUCUUUCAGCUGGGAAGAUAAUGACUGUACCAGCAGAAGAAGCCCCGGCUAACUCCGUGCCAGCAGCCGCGGUAAUACGGAGGGGGCUAGCGUUGUUCGGAAUUACUGGGCGUAAAGCGCACGUAGGCGGACCGGAAAGUCAGAGGUGAAAUCCCAGGGCUCAACCUUGGAACUGACUUUGAAAAUCCUGGUCUUGAGGUCGAAGGAGGUGAGUGGAAUUCCGAGUGUAGAGGUGAAAUUCGUAGAUAUUCGGAGGAACACCAGUGGCGAAGGCGGCUCACUGGCUCGAUACUGACGCUGAGGUGCGAAAGCGUGGGGAGCAAACAGGAUUAGAUACCCCGGUAGUCC
rnacentral:rRNA from 1 species